CAGUCACCAGCCAUUGGCGCCGACCGGAAAAAGCCUUCGUUCUUCUCCGACUUAACAAGAGCCUCGGAGGUCGAAGCCGAUCUAGGGUUUUGUUCAUCGAAUAUGAUUUUCCAACCAUGGCUGACGUUGAGGCUGAUGUUUCUUGUAGCCGGUGAAAGAGUAUGACAUUCAGGAAGUUCAGCUGCAGAGGCGUCGAUUUUGAUGCCAUACUUGGUAUGUCCACGAGGAGCUGGCAGAUGGUCGGUAUGGUCUUACUUAAAUCUCAGAAGAGCUAUUGUGCAUCUGCCUGCAAGAUAAAUAACAAGGGGCAUUCUGCCUCACCCUUUGCGUGAGAACAUUCAGAUACCAUGUGCUAUAAAGAACCUGAUUGGUGAUGUUAAUAAUCUUUGUGAUUGUACUAUUUAUUUGAUUUGCAGAUUAUGAACCAUUAAUUUUGUCUCUGGUAUUUGCAACCCUCAUUAUUAUGUCUAAUUUUUCUGAGCUUGUCUGCAGGGUUUUGACUUGAAAAGAAGUGGUUAAGUGGGCUGGGUUAAAAGCACUUGUUAUGCCCUGCUAAAACUUUGACCGCAGCAUUCAUGGUGCUAGCCCCAUUUUUAGUUUUCCUCUGCAGAUGUUUUUUAAUGUUUAAAAAUUUUUCAGGGUCAUGAUUUAUUCUCACUUGGGGACUUGCAGUGUUACUAUAUGAUUAAUCAGUAUUUUUAUGAUAUUCUAACUGUAUUUUUUUAGUCGCAGAAAAGAGCACAAUUAGCUUUUUUGUGUAUAUUUUUUUUUAAACUUAUUUAAGGCUACAUAGAAGCAUAACAUUAUAUCUUGUGCUUGGGAUGCUUCAAAGCCAAUUCGCUGUCGUCUUCUGUUAUUCUGGAAAGGUCUUAAUGAAUUUCAUGAUUUAGAAAUGUCGCAUGGAAUCACUUUUUUGUUAGCGGGGCUAAUUUUGUAGAUAAAGUUAUUUAGUUUUUGCACUAAACUCCUUACUAAUGUGUCUGCCAUUUUCAGAAAAAGGAAGCUCCUCCUGGUGAGGAGCCAGAGACAGUCAGGACUCAUUUCUGCAACAUGAUCAUGGUUACCGAGAUGAUUGGGAGCAUUAUUGGAGUUUAGAAUGAGAUAAAUCUGGAAAUGAUUGGCCACUCCUUGCAGAAUUCACUAUUAGUUACAAACCUGUCGAGCAUGGAAGGCCUGGGAUCGAUGCCAGCCACUCUUCCAGAUUUACGCCUCUCAAAGCAGGUGCAAGAGCGAUAAGAAUGGCGUUGACAGAAAAUUUAUCAUAGAUAAGUUCACAGGAGAGAAUGAUUUCAGUCAUUAGAGGAUUAAAAUGAAAGCACUUCUUGUACAUCAAGGAUCAACUAUGCAACCAGCAAAGGCUUUGCGGGUUGUAAGACGGUGAAUGCACUUGAAUUUUAGUUAAAGGCGCACAGUGCUAUUCUUCUAAUCUCCAAUGAUGAAGUGCUUUGCGAGGUAGCAGAAGAAGAUUCAGCCAGUGAUGUGUGGGAGAAACUCCAUUCCUUGUAUAUAAGGAGAUCCUUAGCCAGUUGGUUUUAUUUGUGGAAACAACCAUAUACUCUUGAAAUGGAUGAAUCCAAAUAUCUAAUAAAGUACAUCGAUGAGUUCAAUAAACUCAUUGUUGAUCUCAGGAAUGCAGAUGUUAUGAUAGAAGAUGAACAUCUGGAAAUUAUUCUUCUCAGCUAAUUUCUAGGAUCAUAUGAAAAUAUAGUUGAUACAAUACUUUACGGUAAAGAAACUUUGACAAUACUAGAGGUAAAAUCUGUCUUGAUGUCAAAAGAGAUUCAAAAAAAAGUUUGAAGUGAAGAAGAAAAAAAUGAUGAUAACUUAUCUGUAAGGGGAAGGCCUGAACAGAGAAGCAACAAAUUCCAUAAGAAUUAUCGUGGCAGAUCGAGGUGCAAGUCCAAGACCAGGAAAUGUUUUCAUUGUCGGAAAGAAGGGUCAUUUUAAGGAAGAUUGUUCUGAUAGAAAAUAAGUCAAGAAAAUGGUUUGAAGGAUGAUGUUAAAGCAGCAGUGGCAUCAAAUUCAGUUGGUUAUGAAUGUCUUAAGUGCUAGUUGUAUCGCGAAAACAAUCCAUUGAUGAAUGGUUAUCGAUUCCAGAUGCUCCUUUUGCUUGAUACGAAAUGUAAGGCUACUUUCAAGAUCUUGAAACGGUAGACUGUGGAAUGAUUUUGUUAGGAGAUAACAAGCUUCUAAGGUAAUGUGAGAAGGAUUUCUUGCAUUCAGAAUGCAUGUUGGCUGUAUUAGAAUUCUAAAAAUGUAAUAAACGUGCUGGAACUUAAACGAAACCUUAUUUCAGUAGGAAUGUUGGAUGACAGUGGUUGCAAUGUAAAAAUAGACGAUGCAUUUAUAAAAAUCGUUUAGGGAGCAAUGGCUGUGUAUGAAAGUUUCAUUGAUUAACAAUCUGCACGUAUUAGAUUGUUUAGCAGCUGAUUCGGCAGCUAACUCUGGUGGCAACAUAAAUUGAUAAAACUUUUUUUGUGGCAUUUAAGACUUGGGCAUAUCAGUUAUCGUGCUUAAUAAAGCAACUGCUUGUUGUGGUGACAACAUGAACAAAAUGUAGUUCUGUGAAAGCUGUGUGAUUGGCAAGACGAGUUAAAUUCAGUGCAACAAGGCAUAAUGAUAAUGGUAUAUUGGAUUAUAUUUGUAGUGAUUUAUGG